CGGCGUGCCUAAUACAUGCAAGUAGAACGCUGAAGAGAGGAGCUUGCUCUUCUUGGAUGAGUUGCGAACGGGUGAGUAACGCGUAGGUAACCUGCCUUGUAGCGGGGGAUAACUAUUGGAAACGAUAGCUAAUACCGCAUAACAAUGGAUGACACAUGUCAUUUAUUUGAAAGGGGCAAUUGUUCCACUACAAGAUGGACCUGCGUUGUAUUAGCUAGUAGGUGAGGUAAUGGCUCACCUAGGCGACGAUACAUAGCCGACCUGAGAGGGUGAUCGGCCACACUGGGACUGAGACACGGCCCAGACUCCUACGGGAGGCAGCAGUAGGGAAUCUUCGGCAAUGGGGGCAACCCUGACCGAGCAACGCCGCGUGAGUGAAGAAGGUUUUCGGAUCGUAAAGCUCUGUUGUAAGUCAAGAACGGGUGUGAGAGUGGAAAGUUCACACUGUGACGGUAGCUUACCAGAAAGGGACGGCUAACUACGUGCCAGCAGCCGCGGUAAUACGUAGGUCCCGAGCGUUGUCCGGAUUUAUUGGGCGUAAAGCGAGCGCAGGCGGUUUGAUAAGUCUGAAGUUAAAGGCUGUGGCUCAACCAUAGUUCGCUUUGGAAACUGUCAAACUUGAGUGCAGAAGGGGAGAGUGGAAUUCCAUGUGUAGCGGUGAAAUGCGUAGAUAUAUGGAGGAACACCGGUGGCGAAAGCGGCUCUCUGGUCUGUAACUGACGCUGAGGCUCGAAAGCGUGGGGAGCGAACAGGAUUAGAUACCCUGGUAGUCCACGCCGUAAACGAUGAGUGCUAGGUGUUGGAUCCUUUCCGGGAUUCAGUGCCGCAGCUAACGCAUUAAGCACUCCGCCUGGGGAGUACGACCGCAAGGUUGAAACUCAAAGGAAUUGACGGGGGCCCGCACAAGCGGUGGAGCAUGUGGUUUAAUUCGAAGCAACGCGAAGAACCUUACCAGGUCUUGACAUCCCGAUGCUAUUUCUAGAGAUAGAAAGUUACUUCGGUACAUCGGUGACAGGUGGUGCAUGGUUGUCGUCAGCUCGUGUCGUGAGAUGUUGGGUUAAGUCCCGCAACGAGCGCAACCCCUAUUGUUAGUUGCCAUCAUUCAGUUGGGCACUCUAGCGAGACUGCCGGUAAUAAACCGGAGGAAGGUGGGGAUGACGUCAAAUCAUCAUGCCCCUUAUGACCUGGCUACACACGUGCUACAAUGGUUGGUACAACGAGUUGCGAGUCGGUGACGGCGAGCUAAUCUCUUAAAGCCAAUCUCAGUUCGGAUUGUAGGCUGCAACUCGCCUACAUGAAGUCGGAAUCGCUAGUAAUCGCGGAUCAGCACGCCGCGGUGAAUACGUUCCCGGGCCUUGUACACACCGCCCGUCACACCACGAGAGUUUGUAACACCCGAAGUCGGUGAGGUAACCUUUUGGAGCCAGCCGCCUAAGGUGGGACAGAUGAUUGGGGUGAAGUCAUAACA
rnacentral:rRNA from 1 species